rnacentral:rRNA from 1 species
CCUACGGGUGGCUGCAGUGAGGAAUAUUGGUCAAUGGCCGAGAGGCUGAACCAGCCAAGUAGCGUGAGGGAAGACGGCCCUACGGGUUGUAAACCUCUUUUGUCGGGGAGCAAAGCGAACCAAGUGUGGGUCAUCGAGAGUACCCGAAGAAAAAGCAUCGGCUAACUCAGUUCCAGCAGCCGCGGUAAUACGUGGGAUGCGAGCGUUAUCUGGAUUUGUUGGGUUUAAAGGGUGCGUAGGCGGGGGUGCAAGUCAGCGGUCAAAUUGCGGGGCUCAACCCCGUACUGCCGUUGAAACGGCAUCCCUUGAGUGCGCGAGAAGUAUGCGGAAUGCGUGGUGUAGCGGUGAAAUGCAUAGAUAUAACGCAGAACUCCGAUUGCGAAGGCAGCAUACCGGCGCGCAACUGACGCUCAGGGACGAAAGCGUGGGUAUCGAACAGGAUUAGAUACCCGUGUAGUC